rnacentral:lncRNA from 1 species
UGUAAAAAAUUCUCCUGGUUCUGCUCUAUUACACUCUGCAUUAGUUCAUGCCACCCAGAGCCUACGCCAGAUCUGGAAGAAUGCCAGAUGGCGACGGAAUCGCAAUACCGUAUUGUAAGAUGGCCAAGGAUACCUUUCUCGGUCUCCAUAAAUUGGACACAAUGGACCUGAGUAGGUUUUGCUGCUUGAAUUUCCUCCAAGCAGCAUGGGGUGAAGAGUCUAGUGCUAGUUAUUUGGGACCAAUGGAAAGCCCCUAAAUACCAAAUUUCAGAAAAGCAGGAAAUGGAAGAGCUUCUAGUUCAAGUCAUGUUGUUACUACACUUGCUAUAUAGAUAGAAGAUGUGGUCUUUAUUUAGGCCAUAAAAUAAAGCAAUUAAGGAUCAAAUUAUUGGUUGUGUC